rnacentral:rRNA from 1 species
UACGUAGGGGGCAAGCGUUGUCCGGAAUUAUUGGGCGUAAAGAGCGUGUAGGCGGCCAGAUAAGUCCGCUGUGAAAUCUCGAGGCUCAACUUCGAGCUGUCGGUGGAAACUAUCUGGCUAGAGUCCGGAAGAGGAGAAUGGAAUUCCUGGUGUAGCGGUGAAAUGCGCAGAUAUCAGGAGAACACCCGUGGCGAAGGCGGUUCUCUGGGACGGUACUGACGCUGAGACGCGAAAGCGUGGGGAGCGAACAGG